UACGUAGGGUGCGAGCGUUAAUCGGAAUUACUGGGCGUAAAGCGUGCGCAGGCGGUUUUGUAAGUCAGAUGUGAAAUCCCCGGGCUCAACCUGGGAACUGCAUUUGUGACUGCAUGGCUAGAGUGCGGCAGAGGGGGAUGGAAUUCCGCGUGUAGCAGUGAAAUGCGUAGAUAUGCGGAGGAACACCGAUGGCGAAGGCAAUCCCCUGGGCCUGCACUGACGCUCAUGCACGAAAGCGUGGGGAGCAAACAGG
rnacentral:rRNA from 1 species